rnacentral:rRNA from 1 species
AAGACCUUGCGCUUUUGGAGCGGCCGAUGCCUGAUUAGCUUGUUGGUAAGGUAAAAGCUUACCAAGGCUUCGAUCAGUAGCUGGUCUGAGAGGACGGCCAGCCACACUGGGACUGAGACACGGCCCAGACUCCUACGGGAGGCAGCAGUGGGGAAUUUUGGACAAUGGGGGCAACCCUGAUCCAGCCAUGCCGCGUGAGUGAAGAAGGCCUUCGGGUUGUAAAGCUCUUUCAGCCGGAACGAAACGGUUACGGUUAAUACCCGUGACUACUGACGGUACCGGAAGAAGAAGCACCGGCUAACUACGUGCCAGCAGCCGCGGUAAUACGUAGGGUGCGAGCGUUAAUCGGAAUUACUGGGCGUAAAGCGUGCGCAGGUGGUUUUGUAAGUCAGAUGUGAAAGCCCCGGGCUCAACCUGGGARCU